rnacentral:lncRNA from 1 species
GAACUUCGAGCGGUUCAAGGAGUCAGAGGUGUACCACUGCCGCUGGGCCAUGCUUGCCGUCCCCGGGAUCCUGGUGCCGGAAGCUCUGGGCCUGGGCAACUGGGUGAAGGCGCAGGAGUGGGCGGCCGUCCCCGGCGGGCAGGCCACGUACCUGGGCGCCCCGGUGCCGUGGGGCACGCUGCCGACCAUCCUGGUGAUCGAGUUCGUGGCCAUCGCCUUCGCCGAGCACCAGCGCACCAUGGAGAAGGACCCCGAGAAGAAGAAGUACCCCGGCGGCGCCUUCGACCCGCUCGGCUUCUCCAAGGACCCCGCCAAGUUCGAGGAGUACAAGCUCAAGGAGAUCAAGAACGGCCGCCUCGCCAUGCUGGCCUUCGUCGGCUUCUGCGUCCAGCAGUCGGCGUACCCCGGCACCGGCCCGCUGGAGAACCUCGCCUCCCACCUCGCCGACCCGUGGCACAACAACAUCGGCGACAUCAUCAUCCCCAGAUCAAUCUCCCCUUGAGCUCAGCUCAGCUGCUGGUUGCUGUUUCCUGUGUACGACUAGGCCCUGCCUGUACAACGAGCGACGACGGUGACUUCCCGCCCGGAAAUUAAACCCUCGUAAUGUAAAG